rnacentral:rRNA from 1 species
AUUGAACGCUGGCGGCAGGCCUAACACAUGCAAGUCGAGCGGAGCGACGGACGGGCGGGUAAGGCCUAUGUAUCUGCCUGCUAGUGGGGGAUACCGUCCGGAAAGGGACGCUAAUACCUACUACUUUCAGUUGAGCCUCGGGUGGAUUAGCUAGCUGGUGGGGUAAAGGCCUACCAACGCGACGAUCCGUAACUGGUCUGAGAGGAUGAUCAGUCACCCUGGAACGUAGACACGGUCCAGACUCCUACGGGAGGCAGCAGUGGGGAAUAUUGGACAAGGGGCGAAAGCCUGAUCCAGCCAUGCCGCGUGUGUGAAGAAGGUCUUCGGAUUGUAAAGCACUUUAAGUUGGGAGGCGUUACCAACAGAAUAAGCACCGGCUAACUUCGUGCCAGCCGCCGCGGUAAUUC